rnacentral:rRNA from 1 species
UCUGUAGCAAGGUUAACCGUAUAGGGGAGCCGUAGGGAAACCGAGUCUUAACCGGGCGUUAAGUUGCAGGGUAUAGACCCGAAACCCGGUGAUCUAGCCAUGGGCAGGUUGAAGGUUGGGUAACACUAACUGGAGGACCGAACCGACUAAUGUUGAAAAAUUAGCGGAUGACCUGUGGCUGGGGGUGAAAGGCCAAUCAAACCGGGAGAUAGCUGGUUCUCCCCGAAAGCUAUUUAGGUAGCGCCUCGUGAAUUCAUCUCCGGGGGUAGAGCACUGUUUCGGCUAGGGGGCCAUCCCGGCUUACCAACCCGAUGCAAACUGCGAAUACCGGAGAAUGUUAUCACGGGAGACACACGGCGGGUGCUAACGUCCGUCGUGAAGAGGGAAACAACCCAGACCGCCAGCUAAGGUCCCAAAGUCAUGGUUAAGUGGGAAACGAUGUGGGAAGGCCCAGACAGCCAGGAUGUUGGCUUAGAAGCAGCCAUCAUUUAAAGAAAGCGUAAUAGCUCACUGGUCGAGUCGGCCUGCGCGGAAGAUGUAACGGGGCUAAACCAUGCACCGAAGCUG